UACGUAGGGUGCAAGCGUUGUCCGGAAUUAUUGGGCGUAAAGAGCUCGUAGGCGGUCUGUCACGUCGGCUGUGAAAACCCGAGGCUCAACCUCGGGCCUGCAGUCGAUACGGGCAAACUAGAGUACUGCAGGGGAGACUGGAAUUCCUGGUGUAGCGGUGAAAUGCGCAGAUAUCAGGAGGAACACCGGUGGCGAAGGCGGGUCUCUGGGCCGAUACUGACGCUGGAGGAGCGAAAGCAUGGGUAGCGAACAGG
rnacentral:rRNA from 1 species